rnacentral:rRNA from 1 species
UACAGAGGGGGCAAGCGUUAUUCGGAAUUAUUGGGCGUAAAGGGCGCGUAGGCGGCUUUGCAAGUGACGGGUGAAAGCCCUCGGCUUAACCGAGGAACUGCCUGUCAGACUGUAAGGCUUGAGACCGGGAGAGGUGAGUGGAAUUCCCAGUGUAGCGGUGAAAUGCGUAGAUAUUGGGAGGAACACCAGUGGCGAAGGCGGCGCACUGGACCGGAACUGACGCUGAGGUGCGAAAGCGUGGGGAGCAAACAGG